rnacentral:rRNA from 1 species
GAUGAACGCUGGCGGCGUGCCUAAUACAUGCAAGUCGAGCGAACAGACGAGGAGCUUGCUCCUCUGACGUUAGCGGCGGACGGGUGAGUAACACGUGGAUAACCUACCUAUAAGACUGGGAUAACUUCGGGAAACCGGAGCUAAUACCGGAUAAUAUAUUGAACCGCAUGGUUCAAUAGUGAAAGACGGUUUUGCUGUCACUUAUAGAUGGAUCCGCGCCGCAUUAGCUAGUUGGUAAGGUAACGGCUUAUCAAGGCAACGAUGCGUAGCCGACGUGAGAGGGUGAUCGGCCACACUGGAACUGAGACACGGUCCAGACUCCUACGGGAGGCAGCAGUAGGGAAUCUUCCGCAAUGGGCGAAAGCCUGACGGAGCAACGCCGCGUGAGUGAUGAAGGUCUUCGGAUCGUAAAACUCUGUUAUUAGGGAAGAACAAAUGUGUAAGUAACUAUGCACGUCUUGACGGUACCUAAUCAGAAAGCCACGGCUAACUACGUG